UAAUUCAUAUGUUAGUUGAGGAACAACUUCAGGCUGGUCAUAUAAAAUCAAUGUUUAGUCCUUGGAACACCCCUAUCUUUGUUAUUAAGAAAAAGUCAGGUUACUACAGGAUUUAAGGGCAAUAAACCAUGCAAUUCAGCCUAUGGGAUCAUUUCAGCCCAGACUUCCUUCCCCCACAGAAAUUCCCUUAAAUUAUAGCUUAAUGGUAAUACAUCUAAAAGAUUGAUUUUUCUUGAUAAGGUUGCAUCCUGAGGAUUGUGAAAAAUUUGCUAUUAG
rnacentral:sRNA from 1 species